CAUGUAAAAAAUUAAUAUGCUGGAAAGAAUUAAAACAUAAAUUACAUUUCAAGUAAAUAUGAAGAACUUCGAACUUGGUCUUUGCGGGCUCUUGUUUCUUCUGAUACAGGUUGUAAGCGCUUUUGCCUGUAAGAGAAAAUCGUCUUGUCGUCCCCCGCGCUGUCCCGGCGGUUGCAAGCCCAAGUACUGGUAGAUGACAAGAACUUCGGCUGAGCUUUUUUAUCGACAGAAUCAUGGUAUUUUCACUGCUAUGGCGUUACGUGUGGUGGGUGGCGUGGUGCGCGGCGUGGAUGGUCGCGGGGGCGAGGGGCUGUAAAAAGAAAACAAUCUGCCGCCCGCCUCCCGGUGGCCGACCUGGGUGUGGCGGAGGCAGAUAAAUGUUCGUGAUUCAACUACUCCAAUGUCCAGAUCUGAUAAAGCACAAGUGGAAAAUGUAACAAGGAAUAAAACAAAUUGACUUUUUAUGAAUUUUUAUUGAUUUUUUUCUUAUAAAAUAUGCUUCUUACACGACUACUCAGUAGUUCCUGAAACAAGACAUUAGUUUUUUUAUCAAAUCAUGAAGUUUUUAA